rnacentral:rRNA from 1 species
UACGUAGGGUCCGAGCGUUGUCCGGAAUUAUUGGGCGUAAAGGGCUCGUAGGCGGUCUGUUGCGUCGGGAGUGAAAACUUACAGCUUAACUGUGAGCGUGCUUUCGAUACGGGCAGACUUGAGGCAUUCAGGGGAGAACGGAAUUCCUGGUGUAGCGGUGAAAUGCGCAGAUAUCAGGAGGAACACCGGUGGCGAAGGCGGGUUGCUGGGCCGACACUGACGCUGAUGCGCGAAAGCUAGGGGAGCGAACGGG